CUUGCUUCUCUUGAGAGCGGCGGACGGGUGAGUAAUGCCUAGGAAUCUGCCUGGUAGUGGGGGAUAACGUCCGGAAACGGACGCUAAUACCGCAUACGUCCUACGGGAGAAAGCAGGGGACCUUCGGGCCUUGCGCUAUCAGAUGAGCCUAGGUCGGAUUAGCUAGUUGGUGGGGUAAUGGCUCACCAAGGCGACGAUCCGUAACUGGUCUGAGAGGAUGAUCAGUCACACUGGAACUGAGACACGGUCCAGACUCCUACGGGAGGCAGCAGUGGGGAAUAUUGGACAAUGGGCGAAAGCCUGAUCCAGCCAUGCCGCGUGUGUGAAGAAGGUCUUCGGAUUGUAAAGCACUUUAAGUUGGGAGGAAGGGCAGUAAAUUAAUACUUUGCUGUUUUGACGUUACCGACAGAAUAAGCACCGGCUAACUCUGUGCCCAGCAGCCGCGGUAAUACAGAGGGUGCAAGCGUUAAUCGGAAUUACUGGGCGUAAAGCGCGCGUAGGUGGUUCGUUAAGUUGGAUGUGAAAUCCCCCAGGGCUCAACCUGGGGAACUG
rnacentral:rRNA from 1 species